rnacentral:rRNA from 1 species
CAGUGGGGAAUAUUGCACAAUGGGGGAAACCCUGAUGCACCCAUGCCGCGUGUGUGAAGAAGGCCUUCGGGUUGUAAAGCACUUUCAGCGAGGAGGAAAGGUUGGCUCCUAAUAGCUGUCACCUGUGACGUUUCUCGCAGAAGAAGCUCCGGCUAAUUCCGUGCCAGCAGCCGCGGUAAUACGGAGGGUCCAAGCUUUUAUCGGAAUUUCUGGGGGUAAAGCGCACGCAGGCGGUUUGAUAAGUUAGAUGUGAAAGCCCCGGGCUCAACCUGGGAAUUGCAUUUAAAACUGUCCAGCUAGAGUCUUGUAGAGGGGGGUAGAAUUCCAGGUGUAGCGGUGAAAUGCGUAGAGAUCUGGAGGAAUCCCGGUGGGGAAGGCGUCCCCCUGGACAAAGACUGACGUUCAGGUGCGAAAGCGUGGGGACCAAACAGGAUUAGAUACCCUGGUAGUCCACCCCGUAAACGAUGUCGAUUUGGAGGCUGUGUCCUUGAGACGUGGCUUCCGGAGCUAACGCGUUAAAUAGACCGCCUGGGGA